AAGUCGUAACAAGGUUUCCGUAGGUGAACCUGCGGAAGGAUCAUUAUCAAUUACUUGUGACUGCUUCUUUUUUGAGAAGUGGUUGUAUGUUUUUGUGCACUGUUUCUUUUUGGUUAUUUUUUCUUUCUGAGAGAAAUAAUCAAAGAUGAAAAUUUGAUUUUCUUAUUAUUAUUUUUCUUAUUUACUUGUAACUUUUGUUAUAAAUAAUUAAAAAAAAGACAACUUUCAGCAAUGGAUCUCUUGGCUCUU
rnacentral:misc_RNA from 1 species